rnacentral:rRNA from 1 species
UAGGGAAUCUUCGGCAAUGGACGAAAGUCUGACCGAGCAACGCCGCGUGAGUGAAGAAGGUUUUCGGAUCGUAAAACUCUGUUGUUAGAGAAGAACAAGGACGUUAGUAACUGAACGUCCCCUGACGGUAUCUAACCAGAAAGCCACGGCUAACUACGUGCCAGCAGCCGCGGUAAUUCGUAGGUGGCAAGCGUUGUCCGGAUUUAUUGGGCGUAAAGCGAGCGCAGGCGGUUUCUUAAGUCUGAUGUGAAAGCCCCCGGCUCAACCGGGGAGGGUCAUUGGAAACUGGGAGACUUGAGUGCAGAAGAGGAGAGUGGAAUUCCAUGUGUAGCGGUGAAAUGCGUAGAUAUAUGGAGGAACACCAGUGGCGAAGGCGGCUCGCUGGUAUGUAACUGACGCUGAGGCACGAAAGCGUGGGGAGCAAACAGG